ACAGCAAAGCAAAGACUCACAAUCUAGCAGACUUGGAGCCGGUGUGAUCACAGAUCGGUGGCUCAAUCGCCUUCAUCAGAAAAAGAAUCGCUUCUGCUAAAACUUUCCACACGAUAAAAGUUGUUGCUUAAACGCUCCCAAGAAUGGGAAGCUCAUCCUAUAUUUUCUCUACUGUGAGGUAUUUUACUUAGUAAACGUUUUAGGCACGUGUCUGUUUGCUAGAGUGGGCCGUUUGCUCUAGCUGCUUUUUCUGUCCCCUUAGAAUUGUUCACAACCCGCUGUCUCAAAGAAUGGCCACUUAAUCCCCACGAGGCUUUUAUGGUCAAAUACCAGGAUUUCAAGGAAAGUGCCAGAGGACACAUUCUUCAGUUGUGUGUACUAGAGCUGAAAGGCACACAGGACCUUAACACUUCCUGGAUAAACAUUUCAAAGCAACACUGUUUUCUUCCUCCGCAUGCACGAGCAACACCCUUCCAUGCCAUCAUAUUCGGUUUACUGGUUAACAGAUGGCCGCUUAACGUCUGGGCACGGACUGUUCAAGGGUUUGCCUGGCCACUGGCGGCUCUUCCAGGGUGAGCCCCGAGUCAGAAAGGACUUGGCGCUUCACCAAAGUCCCUACCAACUUCCAGCUUACCGCUAGGUAACCUCCGUCCCACUGAGCAAACUUUAAAUCAGAUUAACUCCUUACCCAAUUCCCGCCGGCCGCAACUUAAACCUCCUUAUGACUGUUCUCGAUAAUGUAAUGUUUAAACUAUCAAAAUCUCUUUUUCAAAUUUGCAUUGAGAUAUUUGUCAAUCUCUCUUACAACGCCGAUCCUAGGUUGGAGAUUGUUUCUGAAGAAGGCAACUUAAAAGGGGAGAACCGGUUUUUCAGCCACUAUGAGCUAUAUUUAGAUCAGAGAGCCUGGAAAUCACUCAGAACCCCAGAGAUACUAAGAAAUUAAGACUGGAAGAUACUUUUGAAGUCCUAGCAGCAACCUACGCCUGGAAAAGGCUCAACAGCUCUUCAGGCUGUGACGGCGGCCGUCCCAGGACAGCAAAACGACGUCCGUGUUUAACAGCAGCAACAUCCAAUCGACUGAAGUUCUGAGGCUGAACUAAGUUCAGUGGCUUCUCCCAUUAAAUUGAAAAUUCUUUCAUUAAUGUACAAUUUGCAAUACUUUAAAGUAUGAGAGAAACCACACAUUGUUGGCUAAACACCCUUUUCAGUUAACAGACUAUUAUCAGCGAUCCACUUCUCCCCUCAGAGCAUUUAAGAUAAAUUCAGGCUGCUGAAUGCAUUUCUAAUAUUGACCAGGAGUCAUUAAAAUCCGGACUUCCAUAUGAAGUAGGAAACCAGGGAAAUACAAGAAAAAUAAACGAGAAUUAUGUCUGGCAUGAUAGAAUAUUCCAAAACGCUCACAUAACACACUUCAACGUAAGCAGGAGGCCCAGGCCACCAGGAGCUGUAAAGCGCCAGAGCCCCCACAGGGCCAGCAAGCUAAGCAGGGAAGCGUCUACAGCAGAGUUACGACCCCGAAAAUUAGACGCAGCUGGUGUAAAGGAUCUCGAGGUUCUGGGGUGGCUAAUGACUCCUCUUGUCUUCGGACUGGAUAUUGUCUGAGGAAGACCCACACUUUUGGAACUGUUAUUUCUUACGCCUGGACGUGGGGUGGCCAUUUCCCCUCCCCCCUCCCCACCGGAGCUCUGGAGAGGCCUGGAGAGGGAGCGUGCCUCUCCUUCCCUUACCAGCCGCCUUCUGUCCCCACCUGUCCUUUUCCAGGGAGGCCCUUGCUUUCUCAGCUCCCUGUUGUGCCAGUGUCUCCCUUUCCUCCCCUGCUGACCGGGCCUUUCUCCACUUUGGUCUAGUUUCAUCUUUUUCUAGUUCAUCUCUUUCCAUAGAUAGCUCUGCUCUGCGCGUUGGUCCCAAUGUCUACCUUCUCACGCACAGAGCUGGGGCUGGAACAGAGCCUGGAGAGUUCUCCACCCACAGGCAGGGCCAAAGAGCAGGACCAUGGCGUAGAUCUGACACCUCAAGUAGCCCUGGGGGGCUUGCGCUCAAAUGGUGGCGUCACAGGUUUUAGUGUGAGGACUGUUACACAUGAACAGAGUUCUGCAAGUUAGGGGCGAUAUACACACUUGUGAUGAUGGACAUUGAGCGACCCUUCAGACAGGUUUCUUAAAAAGAACAUGAAAGGUAAAAAUGAUCUCAACACUAGUUUACUAAAAGAUCCAACCUUAGAAAGUUAAGAAUGCAUCCUUUCUAUCUAGUGCAAGCUUCUAGUUCCCACUUCCCUGUCUGGAAAUACGUGUUUGGUCCAGCUCAGCAGUUGAUGCACUGGUCUUGCCAGGAGUGAGCGCCCCAAGUGGGUGAGGACCACCAAGGGGCCACCGGGAGAGCCACCAGGCACGGCAGCUGCAUCUGCAUCUGCUAGCUCACGCAGAGGAAGCCAGGUCUGCUGUCUGUAAGUCUGGCAAUGCACAAAGUCUACAAGAGCCUAAAAUAAAAAUAGAACAGUUUUCUUACCGUACUAUUUUGUGAAGAGUCCCCAAGGUUCAGACAGGAGAGAUGUGGGAGGGGAAAAAAAAAAAAAAAAAA